rnacentral:rRNA from 1 species
GACGAACGCUGGCGGCGUGCCUAAUACAUGCAAGUAGAACGCAGUUGCGAUCGGGUGAGUAACGCGUAGGUAACUGCUUGGUAGCGGGGGAUCACUAUUGGAAACGAUAGCUACUACUGCAUACUACUAGAUGGACCUGCGUUGUAUUAGCUAGUUGGUGGGGUAACGGCUCACCAAGAAAACGAUACAUAGCCGACCUGAGAGGGUGAUCGGCCACGCGGGGACUGAGACACGGCCCAGACUCCUACGGGAUGCAGCAGUAGGGAAUCUUCGGCAAUGGACGGAAGUCUGACCGAGCAACGCGGCGUGAGUGAAGAGGGUUUGCGGAUCGUAAAGCUCUGUUGUAAGAGAAGCGGUAUCUUACCAGAAAGGGACGGCUAACUACGUGCCAGCAGCCGCGGUAAUAC